GGCUUAUUGAAAAUAAUUUUAAGUCAAUUCUGCCCAAUGAUUUUAUAAAAUUUAAUGGCUGCAGUAUAAUUAACUGUACAAAGGUAGCAUAAUCAAUUGUUUUUUAAUUAAAAACUGGAAUGAAAGAGUUAAUGAGAUAUAUACUGUCUCAUAUAUAUUUAAUUAAUUUAAAUUUUUAGUAAAAAUGCUGAAAUUUAUUUAUGGGACGAUAAGACCCUAUAGAAUUUUAUAUUAAUAUUAUAAUUAUAAUUUAUUUAUUUAAUAUUAAUAUUUUGUUGGGAGGAUAGAUAAAUUUAUUUAACUUUAUUUAUAAUAUAAACUUUAAUUAAAGAAUAAUUUUUGAUCUUUUAAUAAAAAUUAAAAGAAUAAAUUACCUUAGGGAUAACAGCGUAAUAUCUUUUUAAAGAUCAUAUUGAAAAAGAUGAUUGCGACCUCGAUGUUGAAUUAAGAUAAAUUUUAAAUGGAGAAAUUUAAUAAUUAAGUCUGUUCGACUUUUAAAAUCUUACAUGAUUUGAGUUCAAAUCGACGUAAGU
rnacentral:rRNA from 1 species